rnacentral:rRNA from 1 species
GGGCCCGCACAAGCGGUGGAGCAUGUGGUUUAAUUCGAUGAUACGCGAGGAACCUUACCAGGGCUUAAAUGUAAGUUGCAUAGAUCAGAGAUGGUCUUUUCUUCGGACUACUUACAAGGUGCUGCAUGGUUGUCGUCAGCUCGUGCCGUGAGGUGUCAGGUUAAGUCCUAUAACGAGCGCAACCCCUGUCGUUAGUUACCAGCAAGUAAUGUUGGGUACUCUAGCGAGACUGCCGGUGCAAACCGUGAGGAAGGUGGGGAUGACGUCAAAUCAUCACGGCCCUUACGUCCUGGGCUACACACGUGCUACAAUGGCCGGUACAGAGAGCAGCCACUACGCGAGUAGGAGCGAAUCUUCAAAGCCGGUCUCAGUUCGGAUCGCAGUCUGCAACUCGACUCCUUGAAGUUGGAGUCGCUAGUAAUCG